rnacentral:rRNA from 1 species
AUGUCUUUGCCGAGUGUCCGACAAAUGGCUCUCGGCAAAAAUCUGUUUGCCGAAGAGGUGUACGCCGGGUGGGCUUUGCCGAGUGCAACUCUCGGCAAAGACUUUGCCGAGGGUUUUUGGCCCUUUGCCGAGUGUUCUUGGCACUCGGCGUACGUGACAGAUUCCAGUAGUGUUUGUUUCCGUAUUUAUUUUCGAGGUUUCUGUAUUCAUUUCCGCUUCUGCAAAAAAAUGAAAACAAAUAUGGUAGCACUCAGUUCCGUCCGUUUUCGCUCCGUUUUCAUCCCUACAUGUACUUGCUCAUUAAUUCAUACUGGUACAGCGGCAGUGCGUACUAGCCAAAGACAGCAAGCGGCUACUCGAUCGAUCGGGGCUUUAUUUCCGCUUGAAUUGUACUGUCAUAUCCAUAUGACAUUCUUACCAAUGCAUGCACUGAUGCAAGGAUGGCUCUUGCUAACCAGCACUCAGAUGACCCGGACAUUGUCCAGACUCCUCUGA